AUGCUCCUGCUCCUGCCUCAACUUUCCAAAGUGCUGGGAUUAUAAGUGCACGCCAUCAUGCCCGACCUGACUUGAUGACUUCUUAAGAUUCAGUGAAGCCUGACUCAUUGCUCCAGCUGGAGAGUUGAUUAUGACACAAUGCCUGCCUUGAAGAGGGUAUCUCCAUCUCUUCCCCAUUUUCAUGGAUAUCAAGUGUUUCAUAGAUAUCUGGCUCCACAUGCCAAGUUGUGGGAAGAUUUAACUCCCAACUUAAUAUGAAAUCAAGGAUGCAAUUUCUGAUUAAGCCAGUAAAUUUUGCACAGGAAAUACUCCUUGUUCUACAGCUACAUCCUGUGUAUCUCAUGCUAGCCUUUGCCAGCAAAUAUUAGUCCUUGGUUUUAAGAAAGAUUCAGGGGAAAAAAUUGCUCAACUCUGGAAAAAUAAAAACAAGAGUCCUCCUGGGGUCAGAGAAAAUUGAUUUGAUUUAUUCUGCAACAACUUCUUACUAGACAGCGGAGAGAAGAGUGCAAGAAUCUCUGGGUCAGAAGACCUCACUUAAUCUCUCAAGGUCUCAGUGCCCUUAUGAGGAGUUGAACCACAUGAUUAAUAAGUUUUUGACUCCUGUAUUUAUGAUUUUUAACACUCAUGGAAUUGUUAGGGUGGCCUAAUGGGUAAACAUAAAUCUUGCCACGUAUAAUCUGCCUGACUUUGCCCCAAACUUUUAAAAGCACAUGAAUAUGAGCCAAUAAAUCUAAAUUAUAGUAUACUGCACAUUUGCUGUGAGAAAUUUCCUAUUAUCACUGCCUUUAUGUAAAUGAUUGCUCAUAAUGUUAGUAGACAAACCACUUAAUAAUUUCCAGGCCAGUGAACUUUUGCCCCACUUCAAAAUAAAGUUGUUAUUCUCCUUUCAAUAGAAGCUUAGGAUACGUCAAGCCUAAUGAGAGUAAGUUAGUAGGAAAAAAAGGCUAUGUCAUCUGUAGAGGUGAUAACAAGAUCAGAUCAAGUGGUUCCAAGUGUUUUAUUUUCUACCACAUGCCUUCAUAUGAGUUCAUCUCAAUGAAUACUGUUUGAGUGGUCAGAGAGCUACCAUAAAGAUGCUCUAUCUAAGACCGUAUGAAGAAUUUUUUUUAAGAAUAAAGUUCAUGGUAACUUUAAGGUAACAUUCUCAGGGGGGAAAACAUUUCCAAAUAUCUGUAUUGCAAACUGCCAAGAACAGGGAUCCAGUCUUGAUCCCUCCGCUGAUAUGCUCUGGGACUGGAAACAAGUCAAUUUCUCCCUCCCUCAAGGUCUUAAAAUUAAUGUUUUAUCUGGAUCACCUAUGUUGUAGUAAUCAGGGUUUCCCAAGAAUAAAAUGGAAUUAUAUGGCAUCUUAGAUUCCUUCCAAAGGUGGUGUCACUGUUUCUUUCUCCUUAAUUAGGUGAUGAUAUUGCCAACAUCUCCCCAAGGCAUCAUAUUUAUUCCAGCAAGUUCUUAUUUAGAAAGCUCAUAUUACAAUUAUUCUGUACACUUUAUCUGGAUUGGCAAAUUUAAGUCCCCAUCCACUAAUUUAUGCUUUAUUAAAACUGAUUCAGUUGAGGGAGCAUAUCUGACAGUACUGCAACCAAAUUCUGUAAAGGCAAACUACAAAUUAAAGGCCAUAUCAAAUCCCAUGUAUAAGAAGUAAAUAUGUAUGUGUGGCUAUAUGAGUCUGUACAUGUGUGUACAAACGCAGGGUGGUAACUAUAGUGUGAAGCAGUAAUGCCCUCCAGGACCAUGAUGCUGAUCAGGACAACUUUAUUCUAGUAUGAGUAUGUUCAGUGGUGGCUCCAAUGUGGCUAAUGCUAAGGUGAAGUUCAUGCCAGCACAGGGCCGAUUGUUUCAUUUCCUGUCUCAAUGGCAGCCUGUUGCAGUGAGGCAGAGAAAAGUGUGCCUCAUCCUCAAAAGUUUGGAAGAUGCAUUAAAAAUUGGAUAGGAAGAGCCAGGAUGGAAAGAUGAAAGAACUGAGAAAUGGGUCAAAAAUAAAAUGUCAGCAACCAUUCUUGAAAUGAAAAAAGGAUGACUGUGGAAGGGGAAGAAAGGAGUUCAGGGAGCAUGAAGGAGGGGUAAAGGAGUGAUAAAAGGAAAAUACAUGUAAGCAAAAAUGAGAAGGUAAAAAGUGAAUUAUUAAGGAAAGAAGAUGAUACAUACAAGGACAGAUUAAUGAAUGAAAAAAAUCAUAUACCUUCUAAGCCUGCAAAUAUGAAUUUUGCUAACCUUGGAUGCCAUAAAUAGGAAUUCCAACAACCUCAACAGUCCAAAUUGGCGAUUUCACUUAGUCAUUUUUUUCUACAGUACCAAAAUAGCAAUUUAUUCGGACCUAAUAGAAGAUCUUGCUGAUGUAGUAGUUGAGCUUGGUAGGUGGUAUUCUUCUGGUAAGACAUGAAGAUUAUCCUAGAUGAGUAGUA
rnacentral:lncRNA from 1 species